rnacentral:rRNA from 1 species
UACGUAGGGGGCAAGCGUUGUCCGGAUUUAUUGGGCGUAAAGCGCUCGCAGGUGGUUUGUCGCGUCGUGCGUGAAAGACCCCGGCUCAACUGGGGAGGGUCGUGCGAUACGGGCGAACUGGAGGCCAGUAGGGGGAUGCGGAAUUCCGGGUGUAGUGGUGGAAUGCGUAGAGAUCCGGAGGAACACCAGCGGCGAAGGCGGCAUCCUGGACUGGUCCUGACACUCAUGAGCGAAAGCGUGGGGAGCGAUCCGG